GAUGAAGAACGCAGCGAAAUGCGAUACUUGGUGUGAAUUGCAGAAUCCCGUGAACCAUCGAGUCUUUGAACGCAAGUUGCGCCCGAAGCCAUUAGGCCGAGGGCACGCCUGCCUGGGCGUCACACGUCGUUGCCCCCCCAUCUACUCCUUCGGGAUUGCGGGGGGCGGAUGAUGGCCUCCCGUGCGCCUCGUCGCGCGGUUGGCAUAAAUGCCAAGUCCUCGGCGACGCACGCCACGACAAUCGGUGGUUGCGAAACCUCGGUUGCCCGUCGUGUUCGGUCGUCGCGCAUCGAGGGCUCGAAAAAAUUGCCGGGCUCCGGCUCGACUUUCAACGCGACCCCAGGUCAGGCGGGGUUACCCGCUGAAUUUAAGCAUAUCAAUAAGCGGAGG
rnacentral:misc_RNA from 1 species